CGUCCCUUGCCGCCGGGUAAGGGGUUAAGCGUCAGUCUUUCUAUCGUUAGGCCAUUGAAGAUAGAAAGUGCUGGCGUUAUUUUUUU
rnacentral:ncRNA from 1 species